GCCGUGAUGGUGGAAUGGUAGACACGAGGGACUUAAAAUCCCUUGACCUGGAAGGGUUGUGCGGGUUCGAGUCCCGCUCGCGGCA
rnacentral:tRNA from 1 species